AACACUAAUCACGAAACAGAAAAACUGUUUAAACUAUUUAAUUUGGCGAAUUAUGGAAAUAAAACACAAGGGUGUCAAGCGAACAACACCAGUGAAAGCGUAAAAAAACUAAGCACAAUUAAAAACUGAGAGAAAACAAUAAAUAUUAAUAAAAACUCAGGAGCUAUGCAAAAACACCACCGUCACGUCAGAGAGCAGAAGCUUUUUUCAUAAACAUCAUAAAAUAUGACAUAGUUUAUUUAAACAUAGAAUAAAUGUCAUUAAUUUGAUAAAGUGUUGAUAGAUUUAUAUGAAUACAGUGCGUUAAUUUUUCGGAAUUACAUUAACAAUGCGAAAGAUUCAGGAUACCUUCGGGACCCGUCUUGAAACACGGACCAAGGAGUCUAACAUAUGUGCAAGUUAUUGGGAUAUAAACCUAAUAGCAUAAUUAACUUGACUAAUAAUGGGAUUAGUUUUUUAACUAUGCAUAGAUAAUUAACACAAUACCGGGGCGUUCUAUAUAGUUAUGUAUAAUGAUAUUUAUAUUAUUUAUACCUCUAACUGAUCAGGUUGAAGUCAGGGGAAACCCUGAUGGAAGACCGAAACAGUUCUGACGUGCAAAUCGAUUGUCAGAAUUGAGUAUAGGGGCGAAAGACCAAUCAAACCAUCUAGUAGCUGGUUCCUUCCGAAGUUUCCCUCAGGAUAGCCGGUGCAUUUAAAUGUUAUAUAAAAUAAUCUUAUCUGAUAAAGCGAAUGAUUAGAGGCCUUAGGGUCGAAACGAUCUUAACCUAUUCUCAAACUUUAAAUGGGUAAGAACCUUAACUUUCUUGAUAUGAAGUGGGCCACUUUUGGUAAGCAGAACUGGCGCUGUGGGAUGAACCAAACGUAAUGAUACGGUGCCCAAAUUAACAACUCAUACAGAAACCAUGAAAGGCGUUGGUUGCUUAAAACAGCAGGACGGUGAUCAUGGAAGUCGAAAUCCGCUAAGGAGUGUGUAACAACUCACCUGCCGAAGCAACUAGCCCUUAAAAUGGAUGGCGCUUAAGUUGUAUACCUAUACAUUACCGCUAAAGUAGAUGAUUUAUAUUAUUUAUAAUAUAAAUUUUAAAACUUUAGUGAGUAGGAAGGUACAAUGGUGUGCUUAGAAGUGUUUGGCGUAAGCCUGCAUGGAGCCGCCAUUGGUACAGAUCUUGGUGGUAGUAGCAAAUAAUCGAAUGAGACCUUGGAGGACUGAAGUGGAGAAGGGUAUCGUGUGACCGGUGGUGAUCACGAGUUAGUCGUCUAAGUUCAAGGCGAAAGCCGAAAUUUUCAAGUUUAAAAAUGUCAAAUGAAAUAAUAAAUAAUAAACACUUGAAUAAUUUGAACGAAAGGGAAUACGGUUCCAAUUCGUAACGUGUUGAGUAUCCGUUUGUUAUUAAAUAUGGGCCUCGUGCUCAUCCUGGCAACAGGAACGACCAUAUAGAAGCCGUCGAGAGGUAUCGGAAGAGUUUGCUUUUCUGUUUCUGUUCUGUAGAUGGGCUAGAAGAGCAUGACAUAUACUGUUGUGUCGAUAUUUUCUCCUCGGACCUUGAAAAUUUAUGGUGGGGAUACGCAAACUUCUCAACAGGCCGUACCAAUAUCCGCAGCUGGUCUCCAAGGUGAAGAGUCUCUAGUCGAUAGAAUAAUGUAGGUAAGGGAAGUCGGCAAAUUAGAUCCGUAACUUCGGGAUAAGGAUUGGCUCUGAAGAUUGAGAUAGUCGGGCUUGAUUGGGAAACAAUAACAUGGUUUAUGUGCUCGUUCUGGGUAAAUAGAGUUACUAUCAUUUAUGAUAGUUAUUUGUUCCCCGGAUAACUAACUAGUUACGUAGCCAAUUGUGGAACUAUUAAAAUUUUUAAGAAUACUAAUUUUUAAUUAGUUUUUUUAAAUUAUAACGAUUAUCAAUUAACAAUCAAUUCAGAACUGGCACGGACUUGGGUAAUUCGACUGUCUAAUUAAAACAAAGCAUUGUGAUGGCCCUAGCGGAUGUUGACACAAUGUGAUUUCUGCCCAGUGCAGUUGAGACGGUUUGGUCAGCGAUAACGCCACGCGACCUGAGGGAAAAUAAAAUAAAGUUGUCAAGUGCUCCGGGUCCUGACGGUAUCACUCCAAGAACAGCCAAUGGGCUGCAGGGCUAACAGCCUUAGGCAUUAUGCUACGCAUAAUGAACCUGAUUCUCUGGUGCGGCAAAAUACCAUUCUCUACCCGACUGGCCAGAACUAUCUUCAUUCCGAAGACUGUGACGGCAAAUCGACCGCAAGACUUUCGUCCAAUAACAGUCCCCUCGGUUUUGGUCAGGCAAUUAAACGCUGUUCUGGCUUCUCGAUUGGCUUCUAAAGUCAACUGGGAUCCAAGGCAGCGCGGUUUCCUACCUACCGAUGAGUACCGAUAAGCAAGGUGACCCUCUGUCUCCAUUACUAUUUAAUGGUAUAAUUGAUAGAUUACUUAGGUCCUACCCCAGAGAGAUUGGUGCCAAAGUCGGAAAUAACAUGGCAAGCGCGGCAGCGUUCGCGGAUGAUCUAGUGCUAUUUGCGGAAACUCCGUUGGGGCUUCAAACAUUGUUGGAUACCACGGUAGGCUUCCUAGCCUCCGUGGGACUCUCACUUAAUGCUGGUAAGUGCUUCACUGUCAGUAUAAACGGGCAAGCCAAGCAGAAGUUUACUGUCGUAGAACGACGGAGCUUUUGUGUAGGUGAGCGCGAGUGUCCUUCAUUGAAGCGUACUGAAGAGUGGAAGUAUUUAGGUAUCCGGUUCGCUGCGGAUGGGCGGGCUCGGUAUAGUCCAGCAGACGACCUCGGUCCGAAGCUGUUAAGAUUAACAAGAGCCCCUCUGAAACCACAACAGAAGUUAUUUGCACUUAGGACUGUCCUUAUCCCACAACUCUAUCACCAACUAACACUUGGGAAUUUGAUGAUAGGCGUCCUAAGAAAAUGUGAUAGAUUGGUACGGCAAUUCGUAAGGAGAUGGUUAGAUCUCCCACUGGGAUGUACCAGUUGCGUACUUUCACUCCCCCCACACUUGUGGGGGUCUCGGGAUUCCGUCAAUUAGAUGGAUGGCACCGAUGCUGCGUCUGACGCGAUUGAGCAUGAUUAAAUGGCCCCACCUCGAACAACCCGAGGUAGCUACCUCUUACAUUGACGACGAAUUGCAAAGGGCUUGAGAUAGAUUAAAGGCGGAAAAUGUGCAGUUGUGUUCGCGUCCAGGCAAACAUUGCCAGGUAGGGAGUUUGACUGGGGCGGUACAUCUCUCAAAUAAUAACGGAGGUGUCCCAAGGCCAGCUCAGUGCGGACAGAAACCACACAUAGAGCAAAAGGGCAAAUGCUGAUUUGCUCUCGGUGUUCAGUACACACAGGGACAGCAAAAGCUCGGCCUAUCGAUCCUUUUGGUUUAAAGAGUUUUUAACAAGAGGUGUCAGAAAAGUUACCAUAGGGAUAACUGGCUUGUGGCGGCCAAGCGUUCAUAGCGACGUCGCUUUUUGAUCCUUCGAUGUCGGCUCUUCCUAUCAUUGUGAAGCAAAAUUCACCAAGCGUUGGAUUCUUCACCCAUGCAAGGGAACGUGAGCUGGGUUUAGACCGUCGUGAGACAGGUUAGUUUUACCCUACUAAUGACAAAACGUUGUUGCGACAGCAUUCCUGCGUAGUACGAGAGGAACCGCAGGUACGGACCAAUGGCACAAUACUUGUUCGAGCGAACAGUGGUAUGACGCUACGUCCUUUGGAUUAUGCCUGAACGCCUCUAAGGUCGUAUCCGUGCUGGACUGCAAUGAUAAAUAAGGGGCAAUUUGCAUUGUAUGGCUUCUAAACCAUUAAAAGUUUAUUUUAUAAACGACAAUGGAUGUGAUGCCAAUGUUAUUUGUAACAUAGUAAAUUGGGAGGAUCUUCGAUCACCUGAUGCCGCGCUAGUUACUUAUUAAGACAUUAUUUAAUACAAUGACAAAGCCUAGAAUCAAUUGUAAACGACUUUUGUAACAGGCAAGGUGUUGUAAGUGGUUGAGUAGCUGCCAUACUGCGAUCCACUGAAGCUUAUCCUUUGCUUGAUGAUUCGA
rnacentral:rRNA from 1 species